rnacentral:rRNA from 1 species
AUUGAACGCUGGCGGCAUGCCUAACACAUGCAAGUCGAACGGCAGCACAGUAAAGACUUCGGUCUUUAUGGGUGGCGAGUGGCGGACGGGUGAGUAACGCGUAGGAAUCUGCCUUGAAGCGGGGGACAACUAGAGGAGACUCUAGCUAAUACCGCAUAAUAUCGAGAGAUUAAAGCUGGGGCAACCUGGCACUUCAAGAGGAGCCUGCGUCCGAUUAGCUAGUUGGUAGGGUAAAAGCCUACCAAGGCGAUGAUCGGUAACUGGUCUGAGAGGACGACCAGUCACACUGGGACUGAGACACGGCCCAGACUCCUACGGGAGGCAGCAGUGGGGAAUAUUGGACAGUGGGGGCAACCCUGAUCCAGCAAUGCCGCGUGUGUGAAGAAGGCCUUCGGGUUGUAAAGCACUUUAGGAUGGGAAGAAGUUGUGGAGUUUAAGAGAUACUACAAUUGACGGUACCAUCAGAAUAAGCACCGGCUAACUCUGUGCCAGCCGCCGCAGUAA